rnacentral:misc_RNA from 1 species
GGUUGGUCCACUUUGCUGAGCUCAUGCAGGCUUUAUGGUAACUUGGACAUUGGGAAAUGGGCAGCUCAGUCUCUAUUGGAACUAGAGCCCCAGAACCCUGCAGGUUAUAUCUUGCUUUCAAGCAUCUACGCUGCUAAUGGAAAAUGGAAUCAUGUUGCCCAAUUGAGGAGAGGAAUGAGAGAAAAGGGAGCCAGAAAGGAACCGGGAUGUAGUUGGAUCAAAUAUAAGAAUAAAGUUCAUAUUUUCUCAGCAGAUGACUGCUCAAGUCCAUUUUGUGAUCAGAUAUAUGCUGAGCUGGAUAAGUUAAAUGAAAAAAUGAUAGAAGAGGGGUAUGUGCCAGAUGCUAGUUCAGUUCUCCAUGAUGUUGAGGAGUCAGCAAAGAUACAGAUGCUUAACUAUCAUAGUGAGAGGCUUGCAAUUGCCUUUGGGUUGAUAUUUAUCCCUCGUGGCCUUCCCAUACGAGUAGUUAAAAAUCUUAGGGUAUGUGGUGAUUGUCACAAUGCCACUAAAUAUAUUUCUAAGAUAACUCAAAGAGAAAUACUCGUAAGAGACACUGCUCGGUUCCAUCUUUUCAAAGAUGGAAAAUGUUCAUGUGGAGAUUUCUGGUGAUAUGUCUCUCCUACCAUCCAAAGCUGUUGAGGAUGAUAUUAAAGCCUAGUAUCACCUAGAGGAGUAACCAAGAUCUUUGAUUUCAUGGAUAGUAAAGAGGGCAUUAUGCAGUCACACAUUACAGGGUGCUUUUUCUUGCUGGAUCGAUAAUCCUGGAAGAAUAUCUUAAUGUUAAAACAAAAUGAGAAUUUGAUGUGGGAAUCUCCUUGGUUAAAAAUGUUGGUACAAUUGCAUUCUGAAGGUGUCCUAGACUGAAACCCUGGCAGCAACUAUCUAUAGAAUGUGCAGAAGAUCACACAGGAACAGGAUCGUUUUGUCUUUCCUGAAUUACAAAGAACAGAAAUAUAAUAAAAGGCGAAUCUGAAGAAUAAGUAGAAAAGUUGUUUGAAGUAAAUGCAUAUUGGAUAGCAACUCAUUAAAGGGCUGGGGGAAGCUGACAAGAAUUACCUGCAACUUUCUGCAAAUCUCAAUUACUUCAGCUAGAGGAGCCCAAUCACCAAAAUUCCUUUCAAUAAACUGGUAAGCAAUUCCAGUCUUUCCUCUGCCAAUUACAAAGAGGCCACCUUUAAUUUCUCCUUCCCCUUUGAAGUUUUGCUUUAUUCCCAUAGCUUUUGCCCGCUUGUAAUUUGCAAUAGCUCGUGGGUUGAAAAUAAAUCCUGAUAUGAACUUGUCCUUCAACAGUUCUCCACCACCAAGAGCUUUGAAGAACUGCCUAUCCCGAUCGUAGAGUAUAACACCACCCCAAUAUCGGGGCCAGAAGUCUUUCACCUGCAUGACAAAAGUAGCAGUGACACAUUAGACAAAGGAGUUUAUUAAAUGAUAAGGAGUUGACAGUGCAGUAGAUACCUCUGACUCUAUAUAUUCAUGAAGAACUGCAAUUAACUUAAUUCCUAGCGCAUCAAAUAUGGGCUUCUUAGUAUACAGCUGGUGAGCUUCGGCUCUGCACAUGAUGCAUCCAGGACGCCUGAUGCAGAGGAGGACUGCUGGUUUAUCUUGCCACAGUUCUAAGACCUUCAUCGGGGGCGCUUUUGUAUUCACCAAGCGCUCCAUUCCAAUUUUGUACUCAGGAGCCAGUUUCUCAACUGAUAUUUUCUCAAUGAAAGCGUAAGGAGCAACUUCAUCAACCACUGGAGGAGGUUGUACACACCCGCAUGCUCGAGGUUCAGCUGGUCCAGCAGCAACAAUCCCUUUAAAGAUGUAUCCAUCUUUAAUCUUAAAAUCAGCCAGAGAUUGUUCAAGCGAUUUAUCAUAAUUUAUGCUACUUCUAGUAGGAGAUUUUGAUGUGCCUUGCACAAAUUUUGAGUUGACAGAUCCAAAAGUCUUGAAAAUGAUAUUAUUUCCAGAAUUUGUGCCAGUCAUUUUCCUUACAGGUUGGGCAUAUGAUUUGGGCAAGGGUUCUGCACAUGCACUGGUUCUGUCUGUGAAACGGGCAAUGUGACCUCUCUUCAUCCCAAAUUGGGAAGAGAGAUCUCCAGGGCUUAAGCUCAGAAGCUCGGGCAAACAUUUCCCAGAUGCCUCUAGCUUAUCUCCAUACUGCAUGAGAGCACGAUCAUGCAGGUAUGAUCUUAUUUCCAGAGCAUCCUUUUGCCUUUGUGUCAUGUUUAUUGCAUCCAUAUCCUCUGCACUCAUAAUCUUCAAGGUUGGUACAUCAUCCCA